UGAUUUGUGGGACCAAACCAGGUUGCUGACAAGCAACCAGUCUGUGCCUCUGCAGUCACAGGUCUACGUUGGUGGUGAAGGGACCUGAGCUGGAAUAAGCCAUGACGGAGCCAGAUAAUGCUGGCGCCCUUUGCACUAGAGUUGCUGCCUGUGACGUGUCUGUGGCCUUCACCUGUCUGGCUGUGCACACCUGCGAACAAGGAAGAGGCGAGUAGGUUUUGGGCAGGGAGCAGCAUUUCACCAGCACCUGGGAAGGACUUCCCACAGCCUUUCCCACAGCCCCACAGCGCUCCUGCCUCGCUCCGCAGACCUUGCUCCUGUUCCCUCUCUUCCCCCUUCCACAUCCUUGGAAAGAAAGCCGGGUACUGACUGGAUAGGAGCUCUGACUUACUUGGGCAGGUCUCCCAGUAAGCCAGGACCUGAGGGUCUGGAGUUUCUUUUGAGGUUUGCUUUUUCUGCCACCUCACAUUUUACCCGUUUUUGGACAGUGAGAUGAAGCCAACAUCAGGCCGAAUUAACCAUGUUCAAGAGCUGCAGUUGCCAUUUAGAAGCAAACAAAUGUAUUCCCAUGAGGAGGCUGGAGAAGGAGAGGGUGCUUUUGCCCUCAGAGUUAUCUUCCUGCAGACCCAGCUUGGGGGGAUGCUCACAGCCUUGGAGCAUAUUUGAAAAGAGGAAGGUGUAGUCAAAGCAGAGGGGCUUUUUUUUGUUUAAUGUUUAGAAAACUAAAGAAAGGGAAAUCAAUUAUGAGGCCUACCUGAAUUUUAUUUCCUCACCAAAAACCAAAUUACUCAGCAAACUUAUCGCUUGCUAUUGCAGGCCUUGGUAUUAAAGAAAACAAUCAGGCCAGCAGGAUUAAUCUCUGACAGCUGCCUUAUCUUUAACUUGCACCUUUGUUAUUUUCUGAUGAGCUUCUCUUUUUUUUGCUGCCACGUUGUACCAUACCUCACUGGUUCCUUUCAUUUUAUCAUCAGGCAGGAGCGGAGGACCUUUCAGUUUAUUAAAAAACCUUUAUUUGUGAAGAACAAAGAGGGGGAAAAAAGGCAAACAAUGAGGUCAGACAAUCUCCUGCUUGCCAGGAGUCACUCACCUGUUAUUUAGAGUGUUAUCAGUUAGAGGAGACUUGCAUCAUUGAAAAUCAGUCCCUGACAGAAUACUCUGUGAAAGCGCACACAUGCACACACUCACACACACACACACAUACACACAUGUACGUCCAUGCACACAAAAGCCCCAUAUGACUGACUCAUAUCAGCCUCCAGGCAAGGUCCUCUACUGCCAAGGCUAUAGUAUUUUCACUGGAGGAGGUUCAUUUCUGUUCUCGCUCCCAUGCGGCAGUCAGGGUCUGUCACACAGACAUACAGCUUUGACA
rnacentral:lncRNA from 1 species